GGGUUUUGGUGUUGUUUGUAUGUUUUGAUUUUUCUAAUAAAUUAGUUUAUAUAUAUUAUAU
rnacentral:tRNA from 1 species